UUGAUGUCCACCUCGAGCCAGAUGACCUUCUGGAGUCUGAUGUCCACCACAGGCCUGGGUGUCCAUCUGGGGCCUGGUGUUGAUUUGGAUUCUAGUGUCUACCUGGAACCUGGGGCCAUGUUGUCUACUUGGAGCCUGGAGUUUUCACCUGGGGCCUGGUAGACAUCUGGCCCCAGUAAACAUCAGCCUGGGGCCUGGUUGUCCACUUAGAGCCUGGAGUUUUCACCUAGGGCCUGAAGAUCACCUGGGACCCGGGUGUCCACCUGGGACAUCAGGCUCCAGGUUUACACCCAGGCUCCAGGGUACAACAGGCCCCAAGUAGACAGUGGACACCAGCUGAACAUUAGCCCCAAGGUUGACACCCAUACUACAGGUGGGUAUCAGGCCCCAGGUGAAUACCUAUCCUUCAGGUGUGCAUCGGU
rnacentral:lncRNA from 1 species